rnacentral:lncRNA from 1 species
UGAAGAACCCUAAGGAACGAACACUCAACCGGAUUGGAAAGAUAUGAACUCGAUCCGUAAGGAAAGAGAACUGAUGGUAUGAACGGUGACACAAAGGGUUGCGGAUGACCCAAUGAUACUACCAGACUUCGAUCGUUGCCGGAUGUGACGCACCGGUCCAACAAAAGAAGGAUCGAAACUUGGAGAUAACCUCACCAAGAAACUAAGAA